GCGGGCUUUCCUCCGCGCUCCGCCCCUCCGCGCCCCGCCCCCUGGCCCCUGGCCUUCCGGGGUUCCAGCAGCCACCCCUGCCAGCCUGCGGGGCAUCUGUGGCAGACACGGUGGCAACCUUAGCAAGUGACAUUUGAGCGGGUGGUUCCGCCACUCACAGCAUCGUGGGCAGCGUGGGGACUGCUGUGGCGGCCUGGGAGGGUCUUUGAAAUGUUACAUGCUUCCCCCUGCCCCCCAAGAUCUGGAAGGAAGGUAAAAGAAAGGAGGAGAAAAGGUAGGCGGUGAGAGACUUUGUCUAUAGACCAAGGCCUUCAGCAGAUGCUGGAAAACAGGUGCCUGCGGCAGCCCCCUCCCCCCAACAACCUGCCAGGAGCUCAGCCUUGGUGCUGGGGGCGGGGGGGGGCGGGCACAAACGUGAUUUCCUGAAAAGGCCUCUUUGUGCCCCUGUGGAGUUUGGGGUGAAGCUCCAAGUGGUCUUAGGAUCUGUUAUGGGCAGAAUUGUGUCCCUCCUCAAAUUCAUCUGUGGAAGCCCUAACCUCUGGUACCUUAAAAUGUGACUGCGUUUGGAGAUGACGCUUUACAGAGGUGACGGAGUUAGAACCGUGUUCUUAGGAUGGGCCCCCACUCCAGUGUAACCGGUGUCCUUCUGGAAAGAAAGACGUCUGGAACAUGCACAGAGGGAAGACCUGUGAGGACACAAGAAAACUAUUGUCUGGGGCGCCUGGGUGGCUCAGGCGGUUGAGUGUCCGACUUCGACUCAGGCCAUGAUCUCGCGAUUUGUGAGCUCGAGCCCCACGUUGGGCUCUGAGCUGAUGGUGUGGAGCCUGCUUGGGAUUCUUUCUCUCUCCCUUUCUCUGUUUGCCCCUUCCCCACUUGCAGUCACUCUCUCUCAAGAUAAAUAAAUGAACUUAAAAACAAAAAAACAGAAAGAGCAGGCUGUUGGCAAGCCAAAGAGAGGCCUUGGAAGAAAGCAAACCUGCCGACAUUUCGACCUUUAGAGCUAUGGGAAAAUUGAAGCCGCCCAGUCUGUGGUGCUGGGUCAUGCUGUUGCUAACAGACUGACGCAGGGCCCUCGACUCAAGACGGAAAUGGGCCCUGAAAUAGGCUCAUUCAACUUCUCUUUCCUCUCUCCUCUUCUCUCUCUUCACCCCCUCCCCCACUUUUUAAAAAGAUCUUAUUAUUAAAAAACAUUUUUUAAAAAUGUUUUUAUUUAUUUUUGAGACAGAGACAGAGCAUGAGCCGGGGAGGGGCAGAGAGAGGGAGACACAGAAUCCAAAGCAGGCUCCAGGCUCUGAGCUGUCAGCACAGAUCCCGACGCGGGGCUCGAACCUGCGAACCGUGAGAU